GACGAACGCUGGCGGCGCGCUUAACACAUGCAAGUCGAGCGGUAAGGCCCUUUCGGGGGUACACGAGCGGCGAACGGGUGAGUAACACGUGGGUGACCUGCCCUCAGCUCUGGGAUAAGCCUGGGAAACCGGGUCUAAUACUGGAUAUGACUCCAUGACGCAUGUUGGUGGGGUGGAAAGCCUUGUGCGGCUGAGGAUGGGCCCGCGGCCUAUCAGCUUGUUGGUGGGGUGAGGCCUACCAAGGCGACGACGGGUAGCCGGCCUGAGAGGGCGACCGGCCACACUGGGACUGAGACACGGCCCAGACUCCUACGGGAGGCAGCAGUGGGGAAUCUUGCGCAAUGGGCGAAAGCCUGACGCAGCGACGCCGCGUGAGGGAUGACGGCCU
rnacentral:rRNA from 1 species